rnacentral:lncRNA from 1 species
GGGACAAAAUUAUAAAGUUAUACUACCAAUCAUUAUUUUCCUAAUAGGUAUAUCACACGUAAAAGUGUACGGGGGGAAGUAUCAACAAGGAAUAAAGCUGUCUUGACCUCCUUCUCAGCAUAAGGGACUAGCAAUACCUUUUUUUAUUAUAUCUCAAAAAGUGUAGGGCCUUGCCUAAUGAAGCUUGCAAAUCUGUGGCUUGCCUUCUGCCCAAGUAGGUCCUCACUGAAACUAACAAAAAAUUUGUCUGCCAGGCACCCUGCCCAUCCUUGAGCUAAGUAAUUGACUGCUUUUAUUUCCUGUGCUUCAUAACAACAUAAAAUAGCUGGCAUUACCAUCACCUAGUUUUAUCCAUCUUGCUUUUGCUCUUUGCUAAAGAAAACUUUCUGCAGGAAAGGAGCUCUUACUGAAUUUUAGAUAUUUCUCCCUUUCAGCUUUGUGUAGCACUUUAUGUUGAGGUUUAACUGGCAUAAAAUUUUUGUUCAAAAUCAAAAGUUUAAGAAAUAACAAGAUACUCAAUUUAAACCAUUUUAAUGAC